UGGAAGUGACAGCUCCUGAAUCUUUCUUAAGAUAAGGUAAAGGAAAAUAAUGAUACUACUUUACUAUUAGUGUCGUCCAAUGCUGGUGCCAGAAGACUCGGUAACGCCAGAGACGCAAACGUUAGUCAUCUUAAACAGGCGUAAAGGGUUUGUAGGCAGCUUCCAAUAUUUUUAGUUUAGUAUAGCUCGUGAAAAAUUUAAACCAUAUGAAUUAAAAAUAAAGUGAAGAUAGAAUCAAAUAGAGGUUAAGGUAUAUAAUACUUAGAGUAGUGUUUUAAUAUGUAAAUACUAAGUAGAAUACUAAUGGCGAAGGCAGUUAACCACUAAUGAUUGACGCUGAGAAACGAAGGUGAGGAUAGGAAAUAGGAUUAGAGACCCAUGAACCCCUCACAGUAAACGAUGAAUGGUAGUUAUCAGUUUAGUUACUGGUUUCGAGGUUAACGCGUUGACCAUUCCGCCUUGUGAGUACGAUUGCAAAAUUGAAAACAAAAAAAUUAGUCGGUCUCGAAGCAAACGAAGUGAAGCAUGUUAUACUACUUUAAAAC
rnacentral:rRNA from 1 species